GACGAACGCUGGCGGCGUGCUUAACACAUGCAAGUCGAACGGAAAGGCCCUGCUUUUGUGGGUUGCUCGAGUGGCGAACGGGUGAGUAACACGUGAGUAACCUGCCCUUGACUUUGGGAUAACUUCAGGAAACUUGGGCUAAUACCGGAUAGGAGCUCCUGCUGCAUGGUGGGGGUUGGAAAGUUUCGGCGGUUGGGGAUGGACUCGCGGCUUAUCAGCUUGUUGGUGGGGUAGUGGCUUACCAAGGCUUUGACGGGUAGCCGGCCUGAGAGGGUGACCGGCCACAUUGGGACUGAGAUACGGCCCAGACUCCUACGGGAGGCAGCAGUGGAGAAUAUUGCACAAUGGGCGGAAGCCUGAUGCAGCAACGACGCGUGCGGGAUGACGGCCUUCGGGUUGUAAACCGCUUUCGCCUGUGACGAAGAGGGAGUGACGGUAAUGGGUAAAGAAGCACCGGCUAACUACGUG
rnacentral:rRNA from 1 species